UUCAUGAAAACUAUGUACAAUGAAGAAACUAGACAUGGCUUUCACAACUUUUAUAUCCAGAUACAUUUUUUAAAAAUUCUAUCGUCUAUGAACUUUUACAAGAACCCUAGUAUAUGUAAUAUUUUACUUCAGCUUCAUGCCCACAAUUUCUGAAAUACAUAAUGUUAUUUCUAUUUUACAGGUGAGAAAAGCAAAGCUGGAUACAUUUUUCUUCCUUCUUUUUAUCCAGCAAAUUCACUGAUGAAGGGAUCUGAAAAUUAGGAGCCUGUUUUCUCAGAUUGUCAGGGUUGGGGAGAUACAUUGCAGAUCUCAACGGCAGCAGCCUGAGCCUGUCUCCUAAUCACUUCGAGUCCAGGCAGAUGAAGUAUCUCCUCCCUACCUUGAAUGGAUGGAAAUGAGGCAGAGGAAGAUACACCGGUUUGAGUAGAACUGGGCGCAGCUGCCUUGGGUGGGUUCUGCAAAGAACUAUGCGAAGCCUAGUGAUGAAGACAGAGCUUACGGGCACGGGGCCCUGAAAGGAGACCCAGUGUGUGCAGCUGUGCUGGGCCACAUGGGUACACCAAGGAGGCCGCAGGGCCCGUUGGGUGCCCUGACCACUGAGCAGUCACAAACACUGAGGAUGCAGCUCGUGGGACUUUCAUGUGGCUCUUUUCUUGGGAAAACCACUGGCUCGGCAUCCACUGGCUCAGCAUGUCGGCCUCAUAUUCUGCCUGCAAAGGUAACAUUGUGGCUUAGCAAAAGGAAAGGAAAAAAUGCAGGGACAGUGAAAUGCCAGAUAAUGGUGUACAAAGGCUUGUUUUGAAAAUCAUUCAAGUUACAUGAAGGUUCGCGAGGUCUUUGAAUUCAGGACCGUGAAUGGGGUCACAUGGCUCACAGUCCCCCCCCCCCCCACCAGAAGCACCGUUUUGUGGGUCUUUGCACUUGGGCAUUUCCCUGCAGAGAGGGGUCGUGACUUUCACCAGAUCCUUAAGGGGGUUCAUGACCCCACAAACUAAUGUGAUUUUCAGUGCUCAGGAACGCACAGCAAGACACACUAAAUGGAAAAGAGCUAGAAAACAAAACAGACCCUAGCAGAUGACCUCCUGGGUUGACAGCCCUGACGUAGCCUGCUGUCCCAGCAUAAUGAAUAUCACCUCCUUUGACUCCCAGAAGGCUCCUCAUGUGCAUGGUCUCCCUGUUGACAGCCGCAGUCCCCGCUCCCCUCUGCCAACCAGCAACAGGUCCAUCUGCUGGAAGGGGCUGUGCUACACACCGGCUCGUCCUUCUGGCCGAAUCUGUCCUGGAACUGGCAGUAAUGCCUUAGAUUACCAGAUCAUAACAUGCCACAGGGUAAGCUAGGCUCAGGGUCUGGGUCCUAGGAGAGACUGCAGGAGGACCCUUCUGGACGUUGCUCUGCUCUGAAACUUCCCUGGGAGGAGUCCGAGUCCGCCUCCUCUACACCUGUCGGGAGGCACAGGGGGAAGUGAAGGGAUGAGGACUCAGGCCUCGGGUCCCCAAGGCUAACGCACUCAGGCUUUGUCGCCGUUCCUAAGUGUAGGCUGGUGGGGGGGAGGGGCGAGCAGGCGAUUUAUGAACAUUUCUUAGGUUCCAUGGCACAUUUCCUCAAUUUAUAUAAUCCGAAGGAAAAAAAAAUCUGAAAACAUCCCAGGUCCUUUUCAACUUCUGGAAAGCCCUGGACCCAAUAUAUUCAUUCAUCCAUCCUUGGUAAACAGCUGUGAUGUACCAGGCAUGGGGAAAUACAUUGUGAGCCAUGUGGAUCAGGGGUGCUGCCCCGUGCCCACUCCCCAGCACAUCACAGACGUCAGUGGAUGGGCGUUCUGAUUAAUAGUUAUUUCUGACAUCAGCAGAGACUGGCUCUUUACUCUGAGCAAACCGGUUAAUAUUUAUUUCUUUCACUUUAUUCAUAUGACUAGUAAAUAAUUGAUCAUGUGAUUGCUAAUGUCAACUUAUAAAAUGAGAGCCACCAGAAAAUUACAAAGAAAUUUCUUGUUGCUACAAUGUUAUGUUUAACAGGCUAAUUGCAUUCUAUGGAUAUUUAUAUAGAUGAAUUAGUAGCUAAGGGUUUUUUUUAAAGUUUGUUUUUGGGGGAUUGCCUAUGUGUAUUUUAUCCAAAAAAAUCAACUACACACACACAUACAUGAAACAGUAGGGAAGUAUCAUUCUAAGAAUUGUAUCUAUGAACUACAUUAAAUCUAUUUUCUUUAUAUCAAUGAAUGAGUAAAAAAUAAAAUAUUUAACCAAAAAUGGAAAAAAAAAGAAAAAGCCAGCCCCUUCACAUUUUUUAUAAAGAAUGUUACUAUUAGUUAAGGCACUUAGCAGUUAUUGUCAUUAAGUAAAGUCAUUCAUGGGUAUUCCUUUGAUUUGGUUAAUAGCAACUGUGGCAGCUUAAUUAACCCUUCUUCCCUUUCAAACCAGAAGCAUUGCAUUUUGAGAAAUGGAGGGAAAAGAUUCUUGAGAGUGCCGCUGUCUGCAAUUUGUCUUCCUCUCUGGAAAUAUUCACUGCAAUAAUAGCCCUGAUCUGAAGUGCGUUGUCUGCACGCGGGGAAAGCACUUCGAGGGUCACAGAUUUCACAACUCUCUAAUCUCUGAAAACAGCAAGAUCUCUCCCAGCCUGGUGUGAUAAAUCAAAUGAACGUCUCCAAUUACAGCCCUGGAAAACAAGAGACAAUUGGUUCAGAAUGAGCUGACCACUCUGCAAAUCACGACCUUUUUAUUUAUUGUGUAUAUCAUGCCUGCUUGUGAGGCAUUUUUAUUUGAGGUGUCUGUAAUUAAUGAUAUGGUUCAUUAGUUGGGGAACGGCUCAGGCAGCUCGGCAGCGCAGUAGUUCACAGCAUUGUGGGACUUAACUGAUUCCACAUGGCUCAAAAUCGCUCCCUAAUAGUGCUGUAAAGGGGAUAUUUUGAUGUGUACAUAGCCAAUGACAUAUUUCCAACCGAGAGUACACAGUAGAGGUAUGUGUGCUGAACAGUGUUAUUUUUGGCUGCUAUGUAAUUAAUAGCACAAGCUGCUUCUAUUACUUAGGCUUUCCUCCUUUUGACUUCCAUCAGACUCAAGUGUUAGUACUGCAGGCUAUUGACGAGAAUGCUUUUGUGAGGGAAUUACUGAGAGUAAACUGAACACCCACAUCCGUGUGAGAAGUUGAUGCGAAUUGUUCUCCCAUGUAUUCAGUGCAGCCCAUCCAGCUGUAAGAAAUCCACUUUUCUCAGUGGUUCGGCGCGUCCUGGUGGCUGUGGCUAUCCAUGAGAAGCACCUGGGGAUUGUUCAAAAAGCACUGACCCAUCACAAAGAUCUGGAUUCAGUUGGUCUAGGAGAGGGUCCAGGCACCCAUACUUUCUGCACAUCUCUCCAGGGUUGACAUGUCUGGUUCCGGCAGCCACCUUGUCAAGCCAUCAGCCAGAUUAAGACUUAGUGGCUUCCCACUGUGUUUACACAGCAUCCAAGCCUCCCCAGCCCUUGGAGACCCUGUGUGACCCAGCCCCUGACCUCUCUCCUAUCCUCCCUACCUCCAUGAUCCGGGCUGAAUUGUGGGUGUUGUGCCUUGGACUCACAAGGCUUUCCGCGGCCUCAGCCCCGCCUCAUGUACUCUUCUGUCCUCUCUCAGCCACUCUCGUUCUCGUUCAUUCGUCAGAUCUCAGCCUGAGCGUCCCCUGGUAAGGACCACCUCUCCUCCCCGCACUGAAAUGCGUCUCUGGGGUCCCCCUUGCAGCCUGUGGCCUGCAUCCGCCCUAUUUCACACUACUUGCCCUUGGUGAACCUUGGUGAACAUCCUCGGUGUAACCUGCACUUGAGCACCCUUGGGACGACACUGAGUUUGCCUAGCUCUCUGGUCUACUCCCAAUAACCAAUAGUUUACAUAACAAAGCGAAGAGACUCAGGAGCACUGUGGGAAGGAACGAAUGCAUGGACUGGACGAACAGCCAUGAAACUCCAUAACAUAAAAGCGACAGGAGUCAGAGAGGUUGAACCUAUUCAUUGGGAACAAGAACAAACUUAGCCCGAAUAAUACAGCUUAAAUGGUGAUUCACUCAUAAACGUGAGAAUAAGAUUUACUCUCAGAAAGCUGAAUGAAAGAACAAUUCUAACAGCUUGGGAUAGCAAUUGAAUAUUAGCAUCUAAAAGUUUCAAGAUAUUCACACAUUGAGUUGUCAGUGAGUCACCAUUUGGAUAGGGUAUAACUAGUUAAAGUUUACGGGAGCCAGCCCUGCAAAGUGACACUCUCUCUUUAACUGUCGGUGUGCUAGCCCACCUUCCCAGGAUUCAUCUCUCACAUCCUGGACAUCCAACCCGGUCCCUAUAAAAGAAGAGGUGGCAGGCGGGAGAGAGGUCGAUUUUCCCCACAGGAAAUUUUUGGCCAUGGCUGUCUUCCACUACGGCGCCAUCUCCAAUGGACGUCUCGGCUGUCGUACUCAGUUGGACCCUCCCAAUUACAGGUAGCGUUUUUUAGUUUUCCCUCUUUCUCUUGUUUGACAGCACCUCUUCGGCCCACUCGUGUUUCCCCGCGGGGAACAGGCCACAUUCACGCGUGAAUGUAAGUGUUUAUUUCCUCACUGCUAAAUACAUUCUGUCCCUGUUUGCACAAGAUACCGGUCUUAGUAUUUCCAUUUUUGCCAGAGACAAGAACUUGGGUCGAAAAUUAGUGUAAGCGUUACCCACGUGAAUUUCAAGUGUGAGAAAUGGAAACCUGAAGACUGUGAGAUGUAUUCGCUGUAGUUCUCUCAGAAACCUCUGAAGUCGUAGUUGUGUAAUGAACUUAGAAUAUGUCCUUGUGGUUAGUCCUUACCAGUCAUAUUUCUGAGCAUUUUACAUAUGUAUCAGUGCUUCAUCCUCCAAAGGAGAACCAAAUGAUAAAACACUAACAAGAGGAAGGGCUAAAUAAUACUGAAAUAGACUGUAACAGAUUUUUUGGGAUUUAACUAGACAUUGGUUUUUUUAAUGAGUGCUGAUACAUGUUAGAGUAAGAUGUAUUAGCUAUAGCCCUCACGUGAAUUCGGGAGAAGACGGCCAGCUUUUGCAGUUUUGUAUUCUGGUGUGGGUUGGCCAGUGAACAGGUGUUUGAACGAGUAGCCCAUGAGCACUGAUGGAGGAGGAUGGGGGUACCAUCACAUCCAUUUCUGUAUCACGUGGUCUUGUGUUCUUAUUUAAGGGAAUUGUCCUACCGUGAAUGAAGAAGAAAUCUCAGGUUGUUUUUUUUUUUUAAUUUAAUGAUUGUUCUCUUUUUAUUAAGAAUCUUGAAGUCUUUUUUAUUUCUGAGAUUUAUUUACUUGAGGGGCAGAGGGAGAGACAGAGAGGACCUUACGUCUGUUGGUUCACUCUGCAAAUGGCCUCAAGGGCCAGGAUUGAGCUGAUCUGAAACUAAGAGCCAGAAGCUUCUUCCAGGUCUCCCACGCGGGUGCCGGGACCCCAAGCACUUGGGCCAUCUUCUACUGCUUUCCCAGGCCACAGCAGAGAGCUGGAUUGGAAGAGGAGCAGCCGGGAAUGGAACUGAGGUUGCGGUGCGGCACACAGAUAGUUAAGCUGGCCCAUGUUGUUUUGUUUCUUUUUUUAUUUUAUUUUUUUGAAAAAUAAGAUGAUUAAUAUCAGCUAUCUCAGAUUUCAAACUUGAUUCUGUAUUCAUAGAGCUACUCAGGUUAUCAGUCUUGACCUCCAUAAAGAAGUGGGAAAAGGCACAUAUGCAAUUACUCCUCUAAUUUGUCCUUGAGGAACCUGAGGUCUGAGUUUGCAGGUUACCUCUUCAGCAAGGCCAGACCUGUGAAGUAUUUCUCAGUCCUCAUUGAGAUGAUUCUUCUCAGGCCGUUGUUUGUUCUUAGUGGCGUGAAACGCUGCAUGUACUAGUUCUGGUGGUUUCCUUACUUUUUGUCCAGAUCCCCUCUAGACUUGCAUUGUCCAGUAUGGUAGCCACCAAUGAGUCCUAUGUGGCUCUGGAACACUGGAAAUGCAACUGAUGCAAAUGGAGAUGUGCUGUCUGUGUAAAAUGUACAAUGGAUUUCAAAAAGUGGCAAAAAACAUAUACCACAUUAAAAUUCUUACUGCUAAAAUAAUUUUAGUUCUUUUUAAAUUUACGCUGCAUAUGUGGCAUGCAGCCAUGGCCUGCAGUCUGUUAGACCAUGCUGGUGUAAAAGGCUAACUCCGUGGGGUCAGGCACCAGAUUUGUCUUGUUUAUAUCAAUCCUUACACACCUGUAAUACACCAGCUCUGAGCAUACUAUCUAAUAGAAAAACAGGAGCAGUGUUGGUUAAGAAAUAAUCACAUCGAAAGAUUUGUAUAUUUAUGAUUGAGUACAAAAGAGGCUCUGGAAGCCUUAACAUGGGGUGAUGAUGGGGAGAUGAAGAUGGUCAUUGCCCUGGUUUGAUCAGGACAUGUCACAUACAAAAGCAUGUAUUGGAAUGUCACGUUGUGACCCAGAGGUGUGUUCCACUGUUGCAUGCUAAUUGAAAUGUUUAAAAAAAGAAUCUGUGGAAAGUCUCUCCUGAGCCUGAAACUCUUCCUUAAAACAAGUUUGGUAAGUAGAACUGUACUCUUUAUGUGUAGAGUUUGUUCUGAGCUGUAUCCAUCAGAUCACCAACUAUGUGAGGCCCCUUCCACAGCCCUGCAAAGCAGCCCAUCCACUGAGGAAGUGAAUGAAUGCAGCCAGAAAGCAAGUGGUUUCCUGGCUCUCUGUGCACUUCUCUACGCUCUUCUGAGAGCAGCCCCGGGAGACUGGGAAGUUAAGACUCUCUUGGCUAUGGUCUGGGAGCCUUGAUAGGUUACUGCUGGGCCAGUAUCAUAAAACACCAGCCAGGAGGCCUGAUUCUUUGACAAAUUCUUUAUCCCUCUGGCUCGAGAUCUCUGCAAGCCACUGACCCUUGAUGUGCUCUGCUUUCCUCCUCUAUAAAGGAGGACACAUAAAAAUAUUUGAGCCGGGUCCCUUGUCAAGUUGUUGUAAAACUCUAGUGAAAAGAUAACCAGUGUCAGGAUGUUUAGAAAUAGCCAACAUUUGUAUGAAGGCAAAGAAAAAAAUCAAAGAAAAGUACUGCAUUUUUUUCAAUAGUAGCUCAGUGUUUUUGCAUACAUUGAAAAUGUUCAGACGCCUUUUCUCAUGAAUAAAAAUUUUUUUUCUCUAAGGGGGCAGAGUGGACUUGCUGUCUUUGAAGUUGAUGUCAGAAAUACUCAAUAGGCAACUCUAAUGGACAUUAGCUGGGGAAGAAUUUAGCUGGUGUUGACAUAUAUGAGACCAUGGAAAAACUGUCCAAUCCCAGCCCUGCAACCAUCCAACUACCCUAGGCGGAUGCCACCCAGGGAAUGUGGACUUUGGUUCUCCACCUUCAGCCCAUUGUAUGUAUUUUAAAUAUUAUCCAGCGAUGUUUAAUAAACAUCACUGUUCAUUGCCUUGAUGUUUGUUCUUGACAAUUCAUUUGAAACACAUAAAGAUAAGAAUUCAUGAGGAAAUAUUGGGUAUGACUGUAAGUACCCAGAUUUUUCAAAUGAAACUGCAGACAUUAAGAUUGGUGUGCUUUCCCAUAGACACAAGUUCAGUUUGGCAAUAGAUGCUGUUUCAAAGAUCUUCAGCAUGUGUGGCAAUUUUUUCUAGUUUCAAAGCCAAAUUUAAAAAACUCAAGGAGGGGAACUAGAUAAAUACACAUAUAUGAAAUUCUCUCCAUUAUGCAGAUAGAUUUGGGUUCACAUUUUGUUAGGAUCUAACCUGUGCAAGUCUUGAAUAAAAAAUACUUUUUAUAGCUUUCAAGAAACAUUUGUGCCAUACCUCUGGGUAUGGGUGCAGUCACAUUCAGUAGGAAUAGGAAUUAUAUUUCCCAAGAAUUCACAGUUUGAUAAGA